GAAUCAAGGGCUUAUGAGGGAUACCUAGGCAUUCAGAAGCGAUGAAGGACGUGGCUACCUACGAUAAGCUUCGGGUAGCUGGAAGCAAGCUGUGAUCCGAAGAACUCCGAAUGAGGAAACUCUUAAAACUCCUUGUUGAAUAUAUAGACAAGAAAGAGCAAACCUGGGGAAUUGAAACAUCUUAGUACCCGGAGGAAAAGAAAGUAAACUACGAUUACCUUAGUAGCGGCGAGCGAAAUGGUAAGGACGCCUAAACUAAUUUUAUUAGGGUUGUUGGGACAGCGA
rnacentral:rRNA from 1 species